GGUUGUUCAGCUCAUUGGCGAUCACUUUGUCCUGCGAGGCGGUUCACACCUGGAGCACGGGUUCUGAGGGAGCCACAGGAGCAGGAGCUGUGUGCUUCGGAGGAGGUUGGAGCCCUUCUGUGGGGCCUUCAGGUGUUUCAUCUCCACUCGGACGCCAGGCCACCCUUGUUAACUCUUGGCUUGCUGCAUUUUACCUGUUCUUUCUUCGCUGGUGGAAUUCUCCAGGCAUGUUGAAGUAGGGGCUGGUGAAGAAGGACACCACCCACAACUGGAACCUGGAGUCCAGUAGGAGGAUGGAUUCUCUAUGGACUGCAGGUUACCAUAAUAGGGCCAGGAGCGCGGGAGCCCUGAUGGUGUAUGGAAGCAGCUGUCGACCCUGAGAAAAUUCACAGCACACUAUCACAAUACCUUAACCCAGCAGUUCUCAACCCAGAAUCUGCUGUCAGUGGACCAGUUUGGUAGUCAUUUGUGCUUCCGACCGGGGACAGCCUGCGUUUGCUCACCAGUGGCAGAAUGGGUUGUUGACCUUUGACUUGGCCAGCAUGGACUCCUGCAGCCUCGCCCUAGCUCUCCCCAGGGGUCUGGCAGCACUGACAAAAGGAGACAGAUUGCCAUGGAAUUUCAGAUGUGCAUUGGCUGGAGUUCUGGCAGCCACAGCGGACCCAGAAUGGAAGCCAUGCAUGGCGGAAGAGAAAGACAGAAGGAGCCUGGAUCCCCACGAAGCAUUCACAGCAGC